rnacentral:rRNA from 1 species
UACAGAGGGUGCUAGCGUUGUUCGGAAUUACUGGGCGUAAAGGGCGCGUAGGCGGCUUGCUAAGUGAGAUGUGAAAUCUCGGGGCUUAACUCCGAAAGUGCAUUUCAAACUGGCAGGCUAGAGUGCAGUAGAGGUUGGUGGAAUUCCCAGUGUAGAGGUGAAAUUCGUAGAUAUUGGGAGGAACACCGGUGGCGAAGGCGGCCAACUGGGCUGCAACUGACGCUGAGGCGCGAAAGCGUGGGGAUCAAACAGG